AUACGUAGGGGGCGAGCGUUGUCCGGAAUGAUUGGGCGUAAAGGGCGCGUAGGCGGCCCGGUAAGUCUGGAGUGAAAGUCCUGUUUUUAAGAUGGGAAUUGCUUUGGAUACUGUCGGGCUUGAGUGCAGGAGAGGUAAGUGGAAUUCCCAGUGUAGCGGUGAAAUGCGUAGAGAUUGGGAGGAACACCAGUGGCGAAGGCGGCUAUCUGGACAGUAACUGACGCUGGGGCGCGAAAGCGUGGGGAGCAAACAGGAUUAGAUACCCUGGUAGUCCACACUGUAAACGAUGAAUGCUAGGUGUAAGAGGUAUCGACCCCUUUUGUGCCGGAGUUAACACAAUAAGCAUUCCGCCUGGGGAGUACGGACGCAAGGUUGAAACUCAAAUGAAUUGACGGGG
rnacentral:rRNA from 1 species